rnacentral:rRNA from 1 species
UUCGCCAGGGAACAACGAGCCCCAGCUUAAAACCCAAAGGACUUGGCGGUGCUUUAGACCCCCCUAGAGGAGCCUGUUCUAGAACCGAUACUCCCCGUUCAACCUCACCCUCUCUUGUCCUUCCCGCCUAUAUACCGCCGUCGUCAGCUUACCCUGUGAAGGCCCCAACAGUAAGCAGAAUUGGCACAUAGCCCAAAACGUCAGGUCGAGGUGUAGCGUACGAGAGGGGAAGAAAUGGGCUACAUUUACUGGACCAGUACAUACGAACCCUGUUCUGAAAAUGACAGGUGAAGGAGGAUUUAGCAGUAAGGGGAGAAUAGAGCGCCCCCCUGAAACCGGCCCUGAAGCGCGCACACACCGCCCGUCACUCUCCCCGAAAAACCAUAACAAAUAAUUAAAACCCUGCCAUUAAUAGAGGGGAGGCAAGUCGUAACAUGGUAAGUGUACCGGAAGGUGCACUUGGAAAAACC